AACGAACGCUGGCGGCAGGUCUUAGGCAUGCAAGUCGAACGGGUGUAGUAAUACACCAGUGGCGAACGAGUGAGUAACGCGUGGGAAUCUGCCCAUCACUGGGGAAUAACGUUUGGAAACGAACGCUAAUACCGCAUACGCCCGCACGGGGAAAGAUUUAUCGGAGAUGGAUGAGCCCGCGUUGGCUUAGGUAGUUUGUGGGGUAACGGCCUACCAAGGCGAUGAUCCAUAGCUGGACUGAGAGGACGAUCAGCCAUGCUGGAGCUGAGAUAUGGUCCAGACACAUACGGGAGGCAGCAGCUAAGAAGAUUGGGCAAUGGGGGAAACUCUGACCCAGCCAUGCCGCGUGAAUGAAGAAGGCCUUCGGGUUGUAAAGUACUUUUAGUCGGGACGAUGAUGACGGUAGCGACAGAAAAAGCACCGGCUAACUUCGUGCCAGCAGCCGCAGUAA
rnacentral:rRNA from 1 species